GAUGAACGCUGGCGGCGUGCCUAAUACAUGCAAGUCGAGCGAACGGACGAGAAGCUUGCUUCUCUGAUGUUAGCGGCGGACGGGUGAGUAACACGUGGAUAACCUACCUAUAAGACUGGGAUAACUUCGGGAAACCGGAGCUAAUACCGGAUAAUAUUUUGAACCGCAUGGUUCAAUAGUGAAAGACGGUCUUGCUGUCACUUAUAGAUGGAUCCGCGCUGCAUUAGCUAGUUGGUAAGGUAACGGCUUACCAAGGCAACGAUGCAUAGCCGACCUGAGAGGGGGAUUGGGCAACGCGGAAAUGGAGAAACGUCCCAAAUCCUUAGGGGAGGAACAGGUAGGGAUUUUCCGGAAAUGGGCGAAAGCUUACGGGAGAAACGCGGCGGAAGUGAUGAAGGUCUUCGGAUCGUAAACCCUUUUUAUUAGGGAAGAACAUAUUGGUAAGUAACUGUGCACAUCUUGACGGUACCUAACAAGAAAGCCACGGUUAACUACGU
rnacentral:rRNA from 1 species